rnacentral:rRNA from 1 species
GUGCCAGCCGCCGCGGUAAUACGGAGGGGGCUAGCGUUGUUCGGAAUUACUGGGCGUAAAGGGCACGUAGGCUGGCUGUUAAGUCGGGGGUGAAAUCCUGAGGCUCAACCUCAGAAUUGCCUCCGAUACUGGCGGUCUCGAGUGCGGGAGAGGUGAGUGGAAUUCCGAGUGUAGAGGUGAAAUUCGUAGAUAUUCGGAGGAACACCAGUGGCGAAGGCGGCUCACUGGCUCGAUACUGACGCUGAGGUGCGAAAGUGUGGGGAGCAAACAGGAUUAGAAACCCUGGUAGUCC